rnacentral:rRNA from 1 species
GAUGAACGCUGGCGGCGUGCCUAAUACAUGCAAGUCGAGCGAACAGACGAGGAGCUUGCUCCUCUGACGUUAGCGGCGGACGGGUGAGUAACACGUGGAUAACCUACCUAUAAGACUGGGAUAACUUCGGGAAACCGGAGCUAAUACCGGAUAAUAUAUUGAACCGCAUGGUUCAAUAGUGAAAGACGGUUUUGCUGUCACUUAUAGAUGGAUCCGCGCCGCAUGAGCUAGUUGGUAAGGUAACGGCUUACCAAGGCGACGAUGCGUAGCCGACCUGAGAGGGUGAUCGGCCACACUGGAACUGAGACACGGUCCAGACUCCUACGGGAGGCAGCAGUAGGGAAUCUUCCGCAAUGGGCGAAAGCCUGACGGAGCAACGCCGCGUGAGUGAUGAAGGUCUUCGGAUCGUAAAACUCUGUUAUUAGGGAAGAACAAAUGUGUAAGUAACUAUGCACGUCUUGACGGUACCUAAUCAGAAAGCCACGGCUAACUACGU